rnacentral:ncRNA from 1 species
UUAUUGGCUGUGAAGAAGAGGAGUAAAGGUAAGGAAUAUAUUAAGAGAGGAAAGUUUAUUGGCUGAAAGGCUUUCUAUAUGGAUUACUUUGAAGGUAGCUUCUGAGCUUCUUUAUUGAAAUUAAGUAGAUAAAGACGGUUUUCUUAACCGUUAGUUGUAUUAAGAGCCUGUAAUUUUGCAGGAAAAAAGGUGGUAACGCGAGGUUUUUCGUCCUUUUA